UUCUAAACCCAACAUGAAUCCUGCCAAAAACAAGAAUUCUGUAACCCAACAAGAUUUUUUGCAACCCACAAGAAUCCUGCAACCCAUCAUGAAUCCUGCAACACAUCAUGAAUCAUGCAACCCUUCAAGAAUUAAGCAAGUCAUUAAGAAUUCUACAACCCAACAAGAAUCCUGCAACACAACUGACAGAAAGAUUUAGCACUCAGAAAUAAAUGUCAGCUCACAAGCCCACAACCAAGAAGAAGCCAGCCUAUUAUCAGUCAAUGUAUUACCAACAAGAAAAUGGACGUCAACCUAUUAUAUGUCAAAACAUUGUCAGCCCAAAAGCAAAUAACAGAGUAGACACCAUCCAACCAUCCAUCAACGUAUUACCAGCCAGCCUCAAUAUGUCUAGCGUCCGUUAUCAGCCGAUUCACUAACCCACAGCCAACCAGCUGCCAGGCUUCUAAUCUUCAACAUAUAGCCUGCUAGCUCUCAACAAAAAUGACGCCAGCUUAUAAAUCAUCAACGCUUUACUAGCUAGCCCACACGUCCACAAUCAAGACGCCAGCCUUAUACACGUCAACAAACCUGCCGCCAUCUAAUUAGCAGCAAACUAAUUAGUCAACAGCUAUUCAGUUGGUCCGCUAGCCGACAAGCAUCCCGCACGACCGAGAAUCAGCAGUUAUCCGCAAGUCACUCACCCAACCAGUAAUGAAUCUGCAAACAUCCACAACCCGACAGCACUUCAGUUUCUAGCCUCAUUGACAAUACCAACUAGCAAUUAGUACAAGCAGAAGACAGCCAACCUGCAAAAAAAAACAAACAGCAACCUACCCAGAAAUGGAAAUCCCAAAAAAACGAAUAUGAACCCAAUAUUCUAGCGCCCAGUCAUUAGCUGACAAAGAUUUGUGCACACCUAAUUAAAACAGUGGCCAAAAACAGAACUGUGUAGGCCUACACUUAAUUAACACAGUGGCCAAUGAAAGAACUGUUUACGUCUGAUUAACAUGUUGGCCAAAAACUUAACUGUACACAUGAAAGUGACACGGUGGCCGAAUACAGAUCCCCAACAGACGGAGUGUUGGAAUAAAAACCUGCAACCCAUAUUUACUGAACUGUAACAAGAAAAAUUGCACACAUAAUUGACACAGUGGCCCAAAACCUAACUGUAAACAUGUCAUUGACACAGUGGCCCAAAGCAUAACUGUAAACAUGUCAUUGACACAGUGGCCCAUAGCAUAACAGUACAUACCUAAUUGACACAGUGGCCUAAAACAGAAAUGUACAGUCAUGAAACAAGAAAUAGUCUGCUUCACAUGAUCUUGAUAACUCCCCUAGACCAUAUCUAACUCGACACUUAGAUGCUACUAUUUAAUGUUGCUAUUAUAGUAAAAUUCUAGCUACUACAUUUUGAUAUUUUCUUCGCAUCUAAUACUAGAGUUUUCAGGAAUCUAUAUCGCAAUACAAUAUGUUUAAACUCUUCAGUUUGCUUACAAAUAAUAUUUUUCUUAUAUUUAGCAUUCUAGACUUUUAGCACAGUAUGACCAAUCUAACAUACGUUAAUUGUCAAAUUUGAUUAAUUCUAAUUAUGUAACUUUUAAAGAAAUUAUUAAUGUAACUUGGUUUAUGACGAUGAUUAAAAAAACUAGAUACG